rnacentral:rRNA from 1 species
AGGAUUAACGCUGGCGGCGUGCAUGAAACAUGCAAGUCGAGCGCGGUGUGAUGCGGGGUAACCCAAUUCACAUCUAGCGGCGAACGGGUGAGUAACACGUGAGCAACCUACCUUUGAGUUGGGGAUAGCCCUGGGAAACCAGGAUUAAUACCCGAUGUGGUCACAACAGGACAUCCUGAUGUGAGUAAAGGCGUAAGCCGCUCAAUGACGGGCUCGCGGCCUAUUAGCUUGUUGGUGGGGUAACGGCCUACCAAGGCGAUGAUGGGUAGCUGGUCUGAGAGGACGAUCAGCCACACUGGGACUGAGACACGGCCCAGACUCCUACGGGAGGCAGCAGUUAGGAAUUUUCCGCAAUGGGCGAAAGCCUGACGGAGCAACGCCGCGUGAGUGAUGAAGACCUUCGGGUUGUAAGCUCUGUCGGAGGGAAGAACACAAUGACGGUACCCUCCAAGAAAGCCCGGCUAACUACGUGCCAGCAGCCGCGGUAA